UAGAGUUUGAUCAUGGCUCAGAUUGAACGCUGGCGGCAGGCCUAACACAUGCAAGUCGAGCGGUAACAUGUCUAGCUUGCUAGAUGAUGACGAGCGGCGGACGGGUGAGUAAUGCUUGGGGAUCUGCCUUAGAGUGGAGGAUAACCAUUGGAAACGAUGGCUAAUACUGCAUAGUAUCUGCGGAUUAAAGGGGGCUUCGGCUCUUGCUUUAAGAUGAACCCAAGUGGGAUUAGCUAGUUGGUGAGGUAAUGGCUCACCAAGGCGACGAUCCCUAGCUGUCUGAGAGGAUGAUCAGCCACACCGGAACUGAGACACGGUCCAGACUCCUACGGGAGGCAGCAGUGGGGAAUAUUGCACAAUGGGCGAAAGCCUGAUGCAGCCAUGCCGCGUGUGUGAAGAAGGCCCUAGGGUUGUAAAGCACUUUCAGUCAGGAGGAAAGGUUAGUAGUUAAUACCUGCUAGCUGUGACGUUACUGACAGAAGAAGCACCGGCUAACUUCGUGCCAGCAGCCGCGGUAAUACGAGGGGUGCAAGCGUUAAUCGGAAUUACUGGGCGUAAAGCGAGCGUAGGCGGCUGAAUAAGCUGGAUGUGAAAGCCCGGGGCUCAACCUCGGAACAGCAUUUUGAACUGGCAGACUAGAGUACUGUAGAGGGGGGUAGAAUUUCA
rnacentral:rRNA from 1 species